UUUUUUUUUUUUUUUUCUUUUUUCCUCUUUUUUUCUUGUCGGGACUGCCAACCCCUCUUUCUGGAGGAAAGAUCGACUAUGUUUUCAGAGGUGUUGCACCAGUCUGUGCUCAGGGUAUUCUGAAUCCCACUCGUUUCCGCGUUUCAACUGGAUUCCAAAGCUUUGACCAAGGAUAUUUUUCUAGGGAAUUCAAGCUACGACUGUCAGUAGUGUAAGGAUUUGUAUGGCUUCGAAUUUCGUGGGCUCAGUGACUACAAACAAAGAGAUGCAAAGUAUGACUGUUAAAACAUUUUUUUUUGAUGUGUUUCUAAAAGAUUUUUUAUAUUGAGACUUAAUGUUUAUAUUUACUGAGCUCCUAAAGGAAAGUGGUAGAAACUCGUGAAGUUUUGUUUAGGAAAAGUUGACCUGUUAAAUCCUUUUUAAUCGAAUAAAAUUUAAAGUGCACUGAAACCACAUGGCUUGUGAUUGAAAACAAACAAACAAAAAAGAAUGAAUGAAUGAUUCUAAAGAACUGGUGUUGGUUAAAGAGAUGGAUGGAAUCCGACUGCAAAUGAUUUGGCCUCCUUGUACUCGUCUCACAUACCGACCUGGGACCAUUUCAAGGAUAAUUUAUUUUAAAAUGGAAUUCGCAUAGGAAAAAUGAGUAGGUGUAAACGCUGCGAUUAAAAUGCUACACAGAAUACCCAUUGGAAUUCUCAAGUAUUCAUGAUCCAUCCAGAGGGGUGAGGCAUUUCUUGGUAUCAAAUAACUGGUCGAAGUUGACUUUGGGCAAAAUAAGAUUUAACUUCCUUGCUUUUGUUGUUGGAUAACAAGAAAUGUCCAGAUUACUAUCCAUCACUCUUAAAAACAUCAUAAUUCGUUGACCGUUGUACGCCAUGAAUUUUCCUUUAUUACUUUUUUUUUUCUUUUCCAUUCGUAAUUAUGUUUGCAGUUAUUGGUCUUUUGUUUGACAGCCGAAAACCACAGGAAUCGAACAGGCGAGCCACACAGAAUACUGACCCUUCUUUUACACUUUUGUAAUAGUGUUUAUACCAUAUGGCCCAGUGUGGAAUUCUGGAUAAUCCAAGUGCCUUUGGUCAUUGGUGGCAGCAAGACUGAUGGUUUUUAGCCAGUGGUGCCACAGCCAGAUUUUACUGCAAUAUCUAAAGGGUCAAGUAGUGACUUUGCACCACUGUUAUUGCAAAUUUAAGUAUUCUGCUAUGGAACCAUCCAUACCAGUCUGGAACAUGACCUAUGAAAUCUUCAAUGUCAAGGUUUCUUUCUGCUUGGCAGCUUCUUAGGGGAAUAAUGAGAGUUGCGAUUUUGACUCUUGUGUUUUUAGAAUUCAAAUGGCAUAGCUUUCUGAAAUGAAUUUUUCAAGUUUAAUAGUUAACAGUAGCAGUUUUGUGACUUUAAUUUCAGUGUUCUUGUUUUGUAAAAAAAAAAAAAAGAUCUAUAUAUAUAUAUACAUAUAUAUAUAUGACUUUAUGCCAGUUUCCCAGUAAGCCUCAUAUUCUUUUAUUCACUACUCAAUGAUAAUGUGUUGUUACAAAUACUGUCACAUGAGUAAAUAAAAGUGAAUAAUUACUUAGAAGAUGGAGAGUGUUAAAUUAUAUUUGUGUGAUAGGAAGCUUAUAUGUAUUCUUUUGGUUAUUAGCUUCCAUUGCCAACUGUACUUAAAUGCAUAGGGUUUUCCUCCCCUCUUCCCAAAUUGUUAACUUUUUUAGCUGAUUAGCACCCGAGAAAAAGAAUAUGUAUUUGUACCACUUCACUAUUGUAUAUAAUUUUAUAAUAAGUAAAAAAAAUAAACCCAAUGGCCAUAUUAGAAUGUAAUUUCAACAUAUAGCCUAUCUAGAGAGGUUCCCAGAUGAUUUUGAAAUUAGGUGUAGCUGGGAGGAUAACUUUGCUCAGCACAAAAUUGAAACGUAACCAUUGACACCAUGCAUUUAUUUUAACUGAGAAUCUUAUUUUUUUUCCUCUUAUGCCUUCCUCAUUACUUUAGUGCGCUUUAACUUGCAUAAAUACUUUGGAUUAUCUGGGCUAUCUGGUUUCGGUUUGGAUCUGAUUGCCCAUCCUAAAUUCAAUAUGUUAUUUAUCUGGCCUGUUAAAAAAUCAUGCCAUUUCUAGUUUGUGAAAUAAGAUGUAAAAAAAUCUUUAUUUUUGCCAAGUUGUCUUUAGCAAAACCUUGCUAAAGUUAGUUGUUUUACGACUUAUAAAAUGUGAAGAAACAACUAAUAUAGUUGAUUAGUAUAUUAAUAGGAGAAUGGAAGUAUUUUAUGGAUACGCUUGGGGAGAAUGUGAAAAGGAACUUGGCACGGUGGCCUUUAUGGUGAGGCAUUCAGUUACUGUCUUCUAAAGUGAGUCCGUAGCUUAGCUUGUAUAUAGUUUUUUUUUUUUUUUGAAAGAAAUCCCAUAAUCUUUAUUCAUUCUCUUACCUUUAUAUCUCAUAUGGCACAAGUAAAGGGGGAAAGUAGGAGGAAGAAGUUUAUCACCUUGCUAUGCUUUUAUUUAGUCUUGAGUGCCUAAAUGUGGUGACCGGCACCUCAGAUAACCUUUUCAAUUCCUAAUGUCCUUAUUAUCCUCCUCCUUGUCAACCAGCAGCUUCUUUUUCUUUACCGAAUCCAGUAACGUUACGAUGGUUGAGGGCAAGCUUCAUUGUUGUUAGUGCAAAGUGUCACUGUUGUGGUGUGUAUUUAUUUUGUCCAAGUUUGAGUACCUGAUUGGACAGGUGUAAGUUAAACUGGUGGCCGACACAUACUGAUUUGCUGUGUGCAAACAAUAGUACUAUUUUUCUGGAAACUGUUCCGUAAAAACACAUGGAAAAUAUUUGAAUAUGAAAAAAAACCCGAGCAAUUUUGAACUCCGAAGUUUUUCGUUAUUUAAAGGAUUGCCACAGCACUCUUUAAAUUGGUGUUUUUUAAUGCACAUAUAUACAUAAUAUUUACUUUGUUGGUGUGUUUAAAAUAAUUUUGGUAGACUGUUAUGUCUUAAGUGCAUUAGAAGGCAAUUGUUUGUAAUGGAACUGAAUUGUUUUCUUGGACAGUUUGAUGUGCGCAUAUGAUUAAGAUUUGCAAUCUGGUUGUACUUUUUAAUUUAUUAACUGUAAAUAAAUUUUAGAGAAUAUACAGUGUCUGGUCUUUCAGUGGUGUUGAAAGUUUUUGAGAUGGGAUUUUAUGUUUGCACGUGAAUUGGGAAGUAUUUUUAUGAUGAGAUGAAGUUUUGACUUCUUUUUGUGGACUUCGAAAUCCUGGAGGUCCUGAGAUACAUGUUUUAUGCUAUCUUGGGAGUCAGUGUUACACAUCAGCUUUGUCUUGACGAUCUAGUGAAUCUCCAGAACAGUGCUGUAUGCCCAAGCCAUUAUCCAGUGUGCCAUCAAUAGAGACUUUAAAAAACGCAUCAAAAUUCAAUUUUGAAUCCUGCCCCCCCCCGCCAACCAUGUGGUGGUGAUAAAAGUCUAUCACUCACGUUUUUUCAUGUUAUGGAAGAAAGUAAGUGUACUCAACAUGAGUAGCAGCAGUAAAGGCUGUUCUACUGAAUAGAGUAGAGCCAGGAAUUUUCAUUGCAGUCUAGUAGGUAGAAGUGGGAGUGCUGACAAGAGCAGGAUUCGUGGUACUAUGUGGCCUGAAUUUGUUCUUAUGUAAGAGUUCCUACCAGUAACUGGAGGCAGUGGCGUAAUGGCUGUGGAUCUCAUUGCCUGGGAUGGGAUUAAAGCUUUUACCACUUGCAAACAUUAGAACUUUGGGUAAAUUACAAAAAUGUACUGUGCUUUAGGUUUCUCAUGUAUCCAAUGUAGGCAGUAAAAGAAACUAUUGGGUUAUUGAAAGGAUUAAAAAGAAUAGUAACAGGAGAACUCCUAGGAAAUGCUUAAUAAAUGCUAUUAAUUGAAGGGAUGUGUGCUGAGUAUAUAUAUACACUCAAAGGAAUACUCAAAAGGAGUGGCCCUUUGGGAGUUGAGUAUCCUAAAAGUAGAGUGUGGUCUGGGACAGCCAAAGCCAAAUUAUCAGAAGGUAAUUUGUGGGUGAAUUAAAUUGAAGAUAGAGACAGCAGGAGGUUGGAUUAAGUUUAUUUACUAGGUAAGUAAACUUCACUGUUGGAGGUUUUCCAGCCUUUCUUAAAAAUGUCAGGCCCUUUUAUCAUAGCUCUGAAAGAUACUCAAAAUAUGCUGUUAUGUAUAUUAAACUGAGAACUUAUAAAAGUGGUAGAUUAAAGUUACUGAUCAAGAACUUGCCAAAUUUCAGCAUUAAAUUUUCACUUGGAGUAAGCUCAGUGAGGCUUGCUUAAAAACCAUGUUAAUUUACAUGUGCAGAACUAAAGUAGAACCAAUUUGUGUAAGCUUUGUACUUCCUGUGUUAAAGGAAAUGAAUGAGUGCAAUAGUUAGGUUUGAAACAGCAUUAAGUUAUUACCAAAAGUAAAGAAAAAAUAUUCUCACAUUUGGAGCAUUGACACACUCAUCUUUAGAUUUUGGGUCUAAUGCCUGUAAUUUAGCUCUGAUUCCUCCCAGCACAAAGAAAAACAAUGUAUUCUAAGUUGGUGAGGAAGCCAAAGUUGCAGUUUCUGAGAUGAACACAAGAAGAAUUUCCCUAGAUGGAUGUUAUCCAGUGGUAAGAAGCUCAAAACUGAGCCCGAUUGCAGAUUGCGCAAGAGCAAUGACUUUUCAGUGUCAGCACUCACUUGUCUUGGUAAAUGUCACCCUGAACUGUAAUUCAUAACAUGAUGAACAUAUGCAGACCCCCGGCUGGAAGGCAGUGCUCCUAACACCACCAAACAGUAUGGCUGCCCAACCAGUUCUCAUAAAUUUUCUACUGGACUCCAAACUGGACUUCUCUUGCCUUUGAAAGUAUUCUAAGAAAUGUUAACUUUGAGAUUUUUUUCCCAAGUACUGAAAUUAGCUAUGUAAACUGUAUAUAUAUAUAUAUUUCUCUUUCCUGUGAGUUUUUCAAGUAUAUAUUCUUUAUUUUUUUAAAAUUUAUUUAUUCAUGAGAGACAGAGAGAGGCAGAGACCCAGGCAGAGGGAGAAGCAGGCUCCAUGCAGGGAGCCCAAUGCGGGACUCGAUCCCAGGUCUCCAGGAUCAUGCCCUGGGCCGAAGGCAGGCGCUAAACCCCUGAGCCACCCAAGGAUCCCCCUAUUCCUUAACUUUAAAUGCUAAUAGAGAGAGUGAAGAUAAAAGGGUGUGAUUUAGGGAUGUACACUCCAAGGUUAAUAAAAUUAUUAAAGCAUAGUAUACAUAUAAAAGCUACAUAUAUUAAAUGUAUUAUAAGCAUGGCUUGAAGAAAUUGCAUAGAUUCAGUAUGCUUGUAGAACCAGCACUCAUUAAAAAACCAGAGCAUUACCAGUACCCCAGGGGACCCCUAUACCUCUUUCUGUCAAUGUUUCCCCUUGACGAUAACAAUUAUUCUGACUUCUUACAGCAUAGAUAACUUUUACCUGUUUUUGGACUUUAUAGAAAUGGAAUUAUGUGUCCUAUGCCUAAGCUUCUUUCACUCAAAUUAUGUUUGUGGUAUUCAUGUAAUUGUGUGUAGUUAUAAACCUUUUAUUCUCGGUGGUGUGUAGAAUUCCAUUGUGUGAAUAGAGUCUAGAGUGUUUCUGCAACUCUUGAUGAGCACUCCGGUAGAUUCGUUUGGGGCAAUUAUGAAUAA
rnacentral:lncRNA from 1 species